rnacentral:rRNA from 1 species
GAUGAACGCUGGCGGCGUGCCUAAUACAUGCAAGUCGAGCGGAAAGAUGAGGAGCUUGCUCCUCUGACGAUAGCGGCGGACGGGUGUGUAACACGUGGAUAAUCUACCUAUCUGUCUGGGAUAACUUCGGGACUCCGGAGAUAAUACGGGAGAAUAUAUUGAACCGCAUUGUUCAAUAGUGAAAGACGGUUUUGGUGUAACUUAUCGCUGGUUCUGAGCCGCAUUAGCUAGUCGUGAAGGUAACAGCUUACCAAGGCAACUAUGCGUAGCCGACCUGUUAGAGGGAUCGCCCACAUGGGAACGGGAACAGGGUCCAGACGCCUACGGGAGGCAGCAGUAGGGAAUCGGCCGCAAUGGUCGAAAGCCUGACGCAGCAGCGCGGCGUGAGUUAUGAAGGUCUUCGGAUCGUAAUGCUCUGUUAUGAGGUAAGAACAAAUGUGGAAUUAGCUAUGCACUUCUUGACGGUACCGAAUCAGAAAGCCACGGCUAACUACGUG